rnacentral:lncRNA from 1 species
GGUUGGUCUACGGGAAGAGGGAGGGCGAGAAGUGCGCGGAGAGCCUGGCUGCUCUUGCUGAGUCGGGUGAGUGACCUCUGCUUCCGCCCUCCUUGCCCACUGCCCGGGGAUCUGCACCUUGGCUCCUUGGGGAGGGCUGGGGAAAGCACACUCCCGCGGGUACCCACACAGGGGCGGGGACUGCACGGCACUGUCUCAACGUGGGCAUGUGGCAGAGGCAAACACAGCAUCCACCCCGCCGCUCACGCCGGCGGCCGCGGGUUCUCGGGCUCAGCACAUCGCACGGCUCCUGGGCUCUGUUUUAGGUAUAUCAUGCACAGAAUCACCUUUCAUUCUUGUUCCUUUAGGCAAAUGCCAAGUCGUAUUGGUAGAAGAAGGACCUUUUGAACGAGCAGAAAACGCUGCAUCGGAGCACUGCUUUGCUGCUUUCAGAAAAGUGAGGGCUUGGACUGGUGGAGUGGUGUCCAGCAGAGUUCCAAGGUGGGUGAGAGGAGAAAAAGAAUUGAUGGAGGGGAGUGGGGAGGGAAGGAAAGGAUGCUUUUGCUCUGAGGUUGUCAUUGUGUAGGUAGCGACUUCUCCAUAACUAAAUGUAUUCAAGUACUAAAUAACCUGUGGUCCCUUCUAAAAUGAUUUUAUGUUUAGUUUUUUGGUCUUUUGCCUUAAGAACUUCAAACAGUAUAGAACUGUAUAAAGAGAAAGGGGGUGAUCUCCCAUCCCUUCUCCCUUUCCCCUCCCU